rnacentral:rRNA from 1 species
AGAGUUUGAUCAUGGCUCAGGACGAACGCUGGCGGCGUGCUUAACACAUGCAAGUCGAACGGAAAGGCCCUUCGGGGUACUCGAGUGGCGAACGGGUGAGUAACACGUGGGUGAUCUGCCCUGCACUUUGGGAUAAGCCUGGGAAACUGGGUCUAAUACCGAAUAUGACCAUGCGCCUCCUGGUGUGUGGUGGAAAGCUUUUGCGGUGUGGGAUGGGCCCGCGGCCUAUCAGCUUGUUGGUGGGGUAAUGGCCUACCAAGGCGACGACGGGUAGCCGGCCUGAGAGGGUGACCGGCCACACUGGGACUGAGAUACGGCCCAGACUCCUACGGGAGGCAGCAGUGGGGAAUAUUGCACAAUGGGCGCAAGCCUGAUGCAGCGACGCCGCGUGAGGGAUGACGGCCUUCGGGUUGUAAACCUCUUUCAGCACAGACGAAGCGCAAGUGACGGUAUGUGCAGAAGAAGGACCGGCCAACUGCGUGCCAGCAGCCGCGGUAAUACGUAGGGUCCGAGCGUUGUCCGGAAUUACUGGGCGUAAAGAGCUCGUAGGUGGUUUGUCGCGUUGUUCGUGAAAACUCACAGCUUAACUGUGGGCGUGCGGGCGAUACGGGCAGACUUGAGUACUGCAGGGGAGACUGGAAUUCCUGGUGUAGCGGUGGAAUGCGCAGAUAUCAGGAGGAACACCGGUGGCGAAGGCGGGUCUCUGGGCAGUAACUGACGCUGAGGAGCGAAGGCGUGGGGAGCGAACAGGAUUAGAUACCCCGGUAGUCC